UACGGAGGGUGCAAGCGUUGUCCGGAUUUAUUGGGUUUAAAGGGUGCGUAGGCGGCUGAUUAAGUCAGCGGUGAAAUUCCACAGCUCAACUGUGGAACUGCCAUUGAUACUGGUUAGCUUGAGUACAGAUGAGGUAGGCGGAAUUGACAGUGUAGCGGUGAAAUGCUUAGAUAUUGUCAAGAACACCUAUUGCGAAGGCAGCUUACUAAGCUGUAACUGACGCUGAGGCACGAAAGCGUGGGGAUCGAACAGG
rnacentral:rRNA from 1 species